rnacentral:rRNA from 1 species
UACGUAGGGUGCAAGCGUUGUCCGGAAUUAUUGGGCGUAAAGAGCUCGUAGGCGGUCUGUCGCGUCUGCUGUGAAAACUCAGGGCUUAACCCUGAGCUUGCAGUGGGUACGGGCAGACUAGAGUGCGGUAGGGGAGACUGGAAUUCCUGGGUGUAGCGGUGAAAUGCGCAGAUAUCAGGAGGAACACCGGUGGCGAAGGCGGGUCUCUGGGCCGAGAU